CCUACGGGAGGCAGCAGCUAAGAAUAUUCCGCAAUGGACGAAAGUCUGACGGAGCGACGCCGCGUGGAUGAAGAAGGCCGAAAGGUUGUAAAGUUCUUUUGCGAGGGAAGAAUAACCGCAGGAGGGAAUGCCUGUGGGAUGACAUGAACUGCGAAUAGCCCCCCCU
rnacentral:rRNA from 1 species